UACGGAGGGUGCGAGCGUUGUCCGGAAUCAUUGGGCGUAAAGGGCGCGUAGGUGGCCCGGUCAGCGUGCGGUGAAAGCUCGGGGCUCAACCCCGAGUCGGCCGUGCGAACUGCUGGGCUGGAGCACUGUAGAGGCGGGUGGAAUUCCGGGUGUAGCGGUGGAAUGCGUAGAGAUCCGGAAGAACACCAGUGGCGAAGGCGGCCCGCUGGGCAGUGGCUGACGCUGAGGCGCGACAGCGUGGGGAGCAAACAGG
rnacentral:rRNA from 1 species